rnacentral:lncRNA from 1 species
UUUUGAUGUCUACAAUCAGGGGAUCCAGGAUCAUCACCAAGGUCAUUUUCCCAGACAGACGUGCUGAGGCUGUAGAAAGCGCUUUUUAUUUGGUUGGGAGCUUGCGCAUAAAUGCGAGAGGGGCUGCACAUCUGACGGACUAGAGGUGACUCAUGGCUGAACUGGAACAGGACAUCGGGGAGAAGCCAGCAGUCAGAAUUCAGAACCCCAAAGAAAAUGACUUCAUUGAAAUUGAACUGAAGAGACAAGAACUGAGUUACCAAAACCUACUAAACGUGAGUUGCUGUGAACUGGGGAUUAAACCAGAACAAGUGGAGAAGAUCAGAAAGCUACCAAACACACUGCUCAGAAAGGACAAAGACAUUCGAAGACUGCGGAACUUUCAGGAAGUGGAACUCAUUUUAAUGAAAAAUGGAAGCUCCAGAUUGACAGAAUAUGUGCCAUCUCUGACAGAAAGGCCCUGCUAUAAUACCAAAGCUGCAAAAAUGACUUAUUAAAUACUCCCAGGAAUGGCCGGGCAUGGUGGCUCACGCCUGUAAUCCCAGCACUUUAGGAAGCCAAGGUGGGCAGAUCACCUGAGGUCAGGAGCUCUAGACCAGCCUGGCCAACAUAUAGUGAAACCCAGUCUCUACUAAAAAAAAAUACAAAAAUUAGCUAGGUGUGGUGGCGCACACCUGUAGUCC